rfam:Ornithorhynchus anatinus chromosome 2, whole genome shotgun sequence.
CACUGUCAGGAUCACAACUGGAGAGUUUCCAGUACUCUACCAGUCUCGGCUAUGGGAAGGACAGUCAAGCAGAGGUAUACCCAUUCCAUUCCUAGCUUGGGCAGUGGCUAGCAAAUGGAAGACAACCUGCUACAAGU